GGGGAAUUUUGGACAAUGGGCGCAAGCCUGAUCCAGCAAUGCCGCGUGCAGGACGAAGGCCUUCGGGUUGUAAACUGCUUUUGUACAGAACGAAAAAGCCUCUUCUAAUACAGGGGGUGCAUGACGGUACUGUAAGAAUAAGCACCGGCUAACUACGUGCCAGCAGCCGCGGUAAUACGUAGGGUGCAAGCGUUAAUCGGAAUUACUGGGCGUAAAGCGUGCGCAGGCGGUUUUGUAAGGCAGAGGUGAAAUCCCCGGGCUCAACCUGGGAACUGCCUUUGUGACUGCAAGGCUGGAGUGCGGCAGAGGGGGAUGGAAUUCCGCGUGUAGCAGUGAAAUGCGUAGAUAUGCGGAGGAACACCGAUGGCGAAGGCAAUCCCCUGGGCCUGCACUGACGCUCAUGCACGAAAGCGUGGGGAGCAGAC
rnacentral:rRNA from 1 species